GCAGUGGGGAAUAUUGGACAAUGGGCGCAAGCCUGAUCCAGCCAUACCGCGUGGGUGAAGAAGGCCUUCGGGUUGUAAAGCCCUUUUGUUGGGAAAGAAAUCUUGCCGGUUAAUACCUGGCGAGGAUGACGGUACCCAAAGAAUAAGCACCGGCUAACUUCGUGCCAGCAGCCGCGGUAAUACGAAGGGUGCAAGCGUUACUCGGAAUUACUGGGCGUAAAGCGUGCGUAGGUGGUGGUUUAAGUCUGCUGUGAAAGCCCUGGGCUCAACCUGGGAAUUGCAGUGGAUACUGGGUCACUAGAGUGUGGUAGAGGGAUGCGGAAUUUCCGGUGUAGCAGUGAAAUGCGUAGAGAUCGGAAGGAACAUCCGUGGCGAAGGCGGCAUCCUGGGCCAACACUGACACUGAGGCACGAAAGCGUGGGGAGCAAACAGGAUUAGAUACCCUGGUAGUCCACGCCCUAAACGAUGCGAACUGGAUGUUGGGUGCAACUUGGCACCCAGUAUCGAAGCUAAC
rnacentral:rRNA from 1 species